CCUACGGGCGGCUGCAGUGGGGAAUAUUGGACAAUGGGGGCAACCCUGAUCCAGCCAUGCCGCGUGUGUGAAGAAGGCCCUCGGGUUGUAAAGCACUUUCAGUGAGGAAGAACGCGUGGUGGUUAAUACCCAUCAGGAAGGACAUCACUCACAGAAGAAGCACCGGCUAACUCCGUGCCAGCAGCAGCGGUAAUACGGAGGGUGCGAGCGUUAAUCGGAAUUACUGGGCGUAAAGCGCGCGUAGGUGGCUUGAUAAGCCGGUUGUGAAAGCCCCGGGCUCAACCUGGGAACGGCAUCCGGAACUGUCAAGCUAGAGUGCAGGAGAGGAAGGUGGAAUUCCCGGUGUAGCGGUGAAAUGCGUAGAGAGCGGGAGGAAUACCAGUGGCGAAGGCGGCCUUCUGGACUGACACUGACACUGAGGUGCGAAAGCGUGGGUAGCAAACAGGCUUAGAUACACCUGUAGUC
rnacentral:rRNA from 1 species